UACGUAGGGUGCGAGCGUUAAUCGGAAUUACUGGGCGUAAAGCGUGCGCAGGCGGUUUUGUAAGCCAGAUGUGAAGUCCCCGGGCUUAACCUGGGAAUGGCAUUUGGGACUGCAAGGCUGGAGUGUGGCAGAGGAGACUGGAAUUCCCGGUGUAGCAGUGAAAUGCGUAGAUAUCGGGAGGAAUACCGAUGGCGAAGGCAGGUCUCUGGGCUGACACUGACGCUCAUGCACGAAAGCGUGGGGAGCAAACAGG
rnacentral:rRNA from 1 species